ACGGGAACCUUCGGGUUCUAGUGGCGGACGGGUGAGUAACGCGUGAGAAUCUACCUUCUGGUCGGGGACAACCACUGGAAACGGUGGCUAAUACCGGAUGAGCCUAAGGGUAAAAGAUUAAUUGCCAGAAGAAGAGCUCGCGUCUGAUUAGCUAGUUGGUGAGGUAAGAGCUCACCAAGGCAGCGAUCAGUAGCUGGUCUGAGAGGAUGACCAGCCACACUGGGACUGAGACACGGCCCAGACUCCUACGGGAGGCAGCAGUGGGGAAUUUUCCGCAACGGGCGAAAGCCUGACGGAGCAAGACCGCGUGAGGGAAGAAGGCUUUUGGGUUGUAAACCUCUUUUAUCAGGGAAGAAAAAAAUGACGGUACCUGAAGAAUCAGCCUCGGCUAACUCCGUGCCAGCAGCCGCGGUAAUACGGAGGAGGCAAGCGUUAUCCGGAAUUAUUGGGCGUAAAGCGUCUGCAGGUGGCUUAUCAAGUCUGCUGUCAAAGAGUGGGGCUUAACCCCAUUAAGGCAGUGGAAACUGAGAAGCUAGAGUGCCGUAGGGGUAGAGGGAAUUCCCGGUGUAGCGGUGAAAUGCGUAGAGAUCGGGAAGAACAUCGGUGGCGAAAGCGCUCUACUGGACGGCAACUGACACUCAGGGACGAAAGCUAGGGGAGCGAAUGGGAUUAGAUACCCCAGUAGUCCUAGCCGUA
rnacentral:rRNA from 1 species